rnacentral:sRNA from 1 species
AAGAGUUUCAGGAGUUUCUUUAUCAAACUAUCGAAACUGUACAAAAUAUUUGUACAAAAUAUACUUUUCAAGCCAAAGCCGCGCUUCCAGAGCUUUGUUUUCUACUUAUCGCGUCUCAACUUCUUCAAGCAUUAGGAGUUCUCCGAUGACGGUUUUGAAGAGCUUAUGAUUUAGCUCGUAGAUCUUGUGAUUGACGUUUUUGAAGAGUUUGGGAGUGAGUCGCACAAGGUGGAA